CCUACGGGAGGCAGCAGUGAGGAAUAUUGGUCAAUGGGCGAGAGCCUGAACCAGCCAAGUCGCGUGAGGGAGUACUGCCCUAUGGGUUGUAAACCUCUUUUGUCGGGGAGCAAAAGCCGGAAGUGGCCGGCUGUGAGAGUACCCGAAGAAAAAGCAGCGGCUAACUCCGUGCCAGCAGCCGCGGUAAUACGGAGGAUGCGAGCGUUAUCCGGAUUUAUUGGGUGUAACGGGGGCGCAGGCGGAUUUUUAAGUAAGCGGUCAAAGCGGGGGGCGCCACCCCAUCCAGCCGUUGAAACUGGGGCUCUAGAGUGUGCGAGAGGUAUGCGGAAUGCGUGGUGUAGCGGUGAAAUGCAUCGAUAUCACGCAGAACCCCGAUUGCGAAGGCAGCAUACCGGUGCACAACUGACGCUCAGGCACGAACGCGUGGGUAUCGAACAGGAUUAGAUACCCCUGUAGCC
rnacentral:rRNA from 1 species